rnacentral:lncRNA from 1 species
UACAAAUGUGUGAGCAGUGCUGAGCAGUCACACAGAACCAGCUGGCUGCGUUACAACUCGGGACAAGCCAAGGAGUUGCUGUCACUUUCUAAUGUUGUUGACAAUCCCAGCUUAGAUCCAACAGAGUUUUCAAAGAAAAAGUGGUCAACAGAAGGAGAAAAAGAAGAUGAAGACACCAAGACAGAAGUGCAACGUGUCCUGGGUGUGGCACAGAAAAAAAUUUGCUCUGUGCUAUGUAGAAUAUAAUUUAUAGUUGGAAAAGUAAUAUAUA